ensembl:lncRNA
GUGAGUUUGUGUUUCAGGAUAGUCCCCUAACUCUCCAAGGCAUUUGCAACUGCAUGAGUUUUCUUGAAGAACAAAAACCUACUUUUUAUGUUGAUGCAGGAACAGCCUUACCAAGGGUGCACGCCCUGGCUGAACCCCUGGAAUGAGGAGCUUCAGCGCCCAGGCACUUCCAGCCUUGUGCUGCACGCAGGCCCAGCAGGAAAGGCUCCAAGGCAGAGAGUGGCAGGUUCAUACAAUAGAAGUGUCAAUGAGGAAGAUUUAUCAUUUUCUCUCUGUUGGACGAACCGUGACCCUACAUGAUGAUCACUUCACAAAGAGAUCAAGUUAAACACUGCAUACUAUGUGUCCUUCACCGCUCAGAGCAUGGAAAAUGUGUGGCUUGGUAUAUAAAUUAAGGUAACCCUAAGUGCUGUUAAUGACUCUAAAAUUUCUGAGGCUUGACACAAGAGAAGUUUAUUUCUUGCCCAGGCACAGUCUAAUUGGCUAUGGGAAUAGGACUACUCUGCUCCACACAGUUAUUCAGGUACCUAGGCUGAGAGAGGUUCUGCUGUGUUCAACAUGUAACUUCCCAAGUCAUCCUGGAUGUCGCCAUCCCACUGGAAGGUGGAGGAAGAGGGAGAAUGGUGAGUCAUCCCUGGGGAGCUUUUAUGGGCCAAGCCAGGAAGUGAUGCCCAUGAUCCCUCCCAUGUCAUUGGCUAGAGCUCAGUCACAUAGUCACACCUAACUGCAAGGAAGGCUGGGUAAUGUAGCCCAACUGUGGGCCCAGGAAGAAGAGGGAAUGGGUUCUGGCAACCACAAAGCAGUCUUGGCCACCAGAGGAAAUUUUGUAUGAAACUGGAAAUCAGUGAUGCUAAAGAGACUUGAUGCUAGUGAGAGGGAAGCUAAUAUUGAAUGCCAUAUUCAGAGCAAAUACAAACUUGAUUAUUUAUAAGGUCAUACAGAACUACCUACCUAUCCCUGAUGUGGUGGAAAAUGCAUUGAUCUUGAAGACACGAAAGAUGCCCGCCAGCUCUGGGCCCAUGGCAAAUCAGUCCUCUGAACAUUACGUGCCUCCUCAGCCAAAUAGAGGAGCUGGAGCAGCUUCAGGAGUCUGCGAGUUCACAUACAGCGUCUAAGGACACGAGAGGACAGCAGUCGGACCAGGAAGGGACCCUCUCGUGACCACCACAUUCUCAUCACAAAAGAUUUUGAUCAUCAGUCAGACCUGGGAGAAUGGUGACCUUGAUCCUCACGAUCUACUGUGUGAGAAAGGCUAUGGAAACCUCUGUGAUAUUCAGCAAUGCUCAUGCCAGGAUACUCAAAGAUGAGUGACACAGAUGGUUCACUUGGGGGGAGACAGACAGGUAGACAGAAUUCAAAGUCAACACGAUAGGAGUUACGAAGGUGUUAUGCAUAGAAACUAACCUGGAGGGGGUCCAAGAAGGCUCCCUAGAGAAUGGGGCUUUCUCUAGGAGGCUGAAUCAUGAAGGCAUUAGUUGAGUGAGGUGUGCUUUCAGAGAAGAAGAAAGAAUGGCAGGGGGAGGUGUUCUAGGAAAAGAGCACAGCAUGAGGAAAGCUUGGAGCAUUGAAGAGCACAGUGUAUUUGAAGAGCUAGGGGAAUUUGGUGUUGCCAAAGGAUAAAGCGAGCGGAGAGGAGUUGGUGAAGUAGACAAGGGCCAUAAAGAGCCUCAUAACUCAUGUUAGGAAUCCAUCUUGUAUUCCACAGGCAAUGGAAGUCACCGAAUGGAUUUUUUUUCAGGAGUAACACGCCUGGAAUACAGCCACCUCUGUUCUACUACUGACCAAACUUGAGCCAUCUUUCUGGGCCCAGGUGAAAUUCACCUAUCUAUCACUCAGAGAAUAGUCAGUGUGCACCAUCCACAUACGCUGUGCUGGGCAGUAGGUACACGGAUGACUCAGGCCUGGUCCUGGCCCUCAGAGAGCUGGCUGUCCACUGGAAAAGGAGACAACACCACACGAGGCUGGUGAGUCUUUCUAUCGUAAGAUGGGGUGGAAGAAACAUAGCUGUGACUCAUCCCAUGCUGAAAAUGUGAAGAUUCCAAGACAAGAAGAGGCUGUGGGAAGCCCCAUAGCACAGCAAGAAAAGACAGGCCAAAACUUUGGGAGUGAGAAGAGAGGAGAGCCUGCUGCCCGGAAGAGAGAAAAGAGGGUAUAUAUUGAGAGAGAGUGAAGGGGAUCCACAUAGUACACUUUUGAUCACUCAAGGAGCAUUCACAGGGGGAUACCCUUAGAAGCAGUAGGGCUCCACACCUGCAUAUAGGGCAAGAAGAACAAUGAGGCAGAGACUGCAUCUGACUUCCCACCCCUCACCACAACUCUCUGAAGUCUAACACUGAGAACUUCCUUCAAGUUGUGGGUAUGUGUCCCCUUGGACCAACCACCCACAUCGUGAUAACUAGGUUAUACCUAAGACAUUUUUAGUGAGGACUUUAGGAAGCCCUGGGAAGGUAUCUCUUUUGUUAAGAGAGGAAUCCAGAGAGAUUUGGCAGAUGUGCUGUAAUGAAGUACAUGCACUGAGCAGAUGCUCCAAGGUCACCUACUUGUCCUGCAGAGUCAUAUGGCUCUAUUUUGGGUUUAGAAGGUGGAAACAUUAAUAUCAUGUCAUUUGUAUCUACUGUUAUGUAACAAAUUAAAAAAUGGGACCGA